UCAAUGAAAUCUAUUUAAAAUAUAUUCAAACAGAAAGCAGUUAUUUUAAAGAGUAGAGAUAUUUCAAAAUUGUACUGUUUUUGCUGUACUUUGGAUCAAAUAAAUGCAGGCUUGGUGAGCUAAAAACACUUCUUUAAAAAUAUAAAAAAUCUUACUGUUCAAAAACUUUUGACUGGUAGUGUAUAUUUCGUCCCAAUAGAACUAAAUGUCAGUCUUAAUGUGAAAACAAACUUACUGAAUUAUCUCAAAUGAAAGGCAGUGGUCAGUAUUAUUGAGGGUAUUUUUCUAAAACAGCAGACACAUCAAAUAAUGACUGAGGUGAAACGGCGAAGAAGAAAACUGGAGGAGGCCAUACAGUUUGCAGUUCUGAAGGACAAACAUGGGCUUGAGGGCAGAUUCAUCAGUGAUUUUAAAGAUAACUCCUAAGACCCAGCUGUCAUCAGACAGCAAUGAUUGUGGUGCGGUUACUGUGGGACUAGACGAGAUCUCACCUGUCAAAGACCG